rnacentral:hammerhead_ribozyme from 1 species
GCAUUGCUGAUGAGUCCCACAACAGGACGAAACGGCCGUCCAGUGC